rnacentral:rRNA from 1 species
UACGUAGGUGGCAAGCGUUGUCCGGAUUUACUGGGCGUAAAGGGAGCGUAGGCGGAUCCUUAAGUGGGAUGUGAAAUACCUGGGCUUAACUUGGGUGCUGCAUUCCAAACUGGGUGUCUAGAGUGUUGGAGAGGAAAGUGGAAUUCCUAGUGUAGCGGUGAAAUGCGUAGAGAUUAGGAAGAACACCAGUGGCGAAGGCGACUUUCUGGACAAUAACUGACGCUGAGGCUCGAAAGCGUGGGGAGCAAACAGGAUUAGAUACCCUGGUAGUCCACGCAGUAAACGAUGGGUAAUAGGUGUAGGAGGUAUCGACUCCUCCUGUGCCGACGUUAACACAAUAAGUAACCCGCCUGGGGAGUACGGUCGCAAGAUUAAA